AUUAAUUAUUUUUUCUAUUCUUUACUUUUAUAUGCUUCCUGAACUUGCCUUUUAUAUAUUUAUUUUUGGCUAAAAAAAGUUUGUACAUUUUAUAACAAAUGUCCUACAACCAGUUCUAAAUCAUGUGGGGGAAAAGGCGCCUUCUUAGAGAUUCAGCCUCUCUUCCAGUUCGUAUGUCGUUAGGAGAAUCUACAGUCCAACAAUGGGACUUGCAAGAAAGAUUUUAACGCUCUGUGAGAAUAAGGGCGUAAAAGGAAACCGAAAAUAACUAAAUGGCUUCAAAAAAACAGUCUAAUGGCUUCAAGAAGAAAUGCAGAAUAUGUAAAAAAAAUGAAAUUAAGGAAGACGCAAAACAAAGAUGGAUACCAAUGGAUAUGUCAACAAAGAGCACACAAUGAAAAAGUGACAAAAUCAUGCAGGUCAGGAUCAAUAUUCGACGAGACCAAGACAAGUUUACAAAAUUGGAUGACUUUUAUAUACAGAUUCAGUCAAGGUUUACGUUUACGCCAAGUCGACAUGGUCCAGGAUGGCCUUGCUGGAAGCUCUGCCACCAUUACUAAAAUGACCCGGAAAAUGAGAUUAGUCUGCAGGAAAGCCUUGGAGAUGUUCAAAAGGAAGACAGGAAAGGCAUGGGUGGAAGAAGGGAAUUUACUGUGAUAGAUGAAAGCAACAUCCGCCACAAAA